rnacentral:lncRNA from 1 species
GAUGCUAUGAGUGUAUUUGCUCUAUUAUCUCAAAACUUUCCUAUCUUUCAGGUAGAUGCCUUCCCAGUCUCUGAGAUUCCCUCUGAGCCAUCUUCCUCCCGUUUUUGUCUAAGUGAAUAAAACUGGUAGUUGGGGAUAUGUCAGAAGGUCCUGGACAUUGGAGUAACAAGGGAAAAGAGAACCACAGAAAAUAACAGUGAGCCUUGAAUAAAAGGUAAUAUGCUGUCAAACUCUGCAAAGACCCCCUUGAUAGUAGUGGCUGCUGUCCAUGCUCAACACUGGUACAUAGGAUGCAGGAGAACAGCUACUCAUAUAGAAUUCAAGGAAUUGCAAGACUAUUUCUUAACAUUAUAUGGAGCAAAUAUUACCUAAGUAAGUGGUGUUAUUGUGCGGUGUGUAUGUGUAUGUGUGUGCAUGUG